GAUGAACGCUGGCGGUGUGCCUAAUACAUGCAAGUCGAGCGAACAGACGAGGAGCUUACUCCUCUGACGUUAGCGGCGGACGGGUGAGUAACACGUGGAUAACCUACCUAUAAGACUGGGAUAACUUCGGGAAACCGGAGCUAAUACCGGAUAACAUGUUGAACCGCAUGGUUCAACAGUGAAAGACGGUCUUGCUAUCACUUAUAGAUGGAUCCGCGUCGCAUUAGCUAGUUGGUAAGGUAACGGCUUACCAAGGCAACGAUGCGUAGCCGACCUGAGAGGGUGAUCGGCCACACUGGAACUGAGACACGGUCCAGACUCCUACGGGAGGCAGCAGUGGGGAAUCUUCCGCAAUGGGCGAAAGCCUGACGGAGCAACGCCGCGUGAGUGAAGAAGGUCUUCGGAUCGUAAAACUCUGUUAUUAGGGAAGAAAAAAUGUGUAAGUAACUAUGCACGUCUUGACGGUACCUAAUCAGAAAGCCACGGCUAACUACGUG
rnacentral:rRNA from 1 species